UGGAUUGUUAAGUCUCUUGGGAAAUCCACCGGCUCAACCGAUGGGCGUUCAGGAGAAACUGGCAAUCUAGGGACCGGGAGAGGUGAGAGGUACUCCAGGGGUAGGAGUGAAAUCCUGUAAUCCUUGGGGGACCACCUGUGGCGAAGGCGUCUCACUAGAACGGCUCCGACAGUGAGGGACGAAAGCUGGGGGAGCAAACCGGAUUAGAUACCCGGGUAGUCCCAGCUGUAAACGAUGCGCGUUAGGUGUAUCGGUGACCACGAGUCAUCGAGGUGCCGAAGGGAAACCGUGAAACGUGCCGCCUGGGAAA
rnacentral:rRNA from 1 species